CUGCGGCGGAUUAGCUAGUUGGUGGGGUAACGGCCUACCAAGGCGAUGAUCCGUAGGGGGCGUGAGAGCGUGGCCCCCCACACUGGCACUGAGACACGGGCCAGACUCCUACGGGAGGCAGCAGUGAGGAAUAUUGCACAAUGGGCGCAAGCCUGAUGCAGCAACGCCGCGUGAGGGACGAAGGCCUUCGGGUCGUAAACCUCUUUUCUGGGGGACGAGUAAGGACGGUACCUCAGGAAUAAGUCUCGGCUAACUACGUGCCAGCAGCCGCGGUAAAACGUAGGAGGCGAGCGUUAUCCGGAUUUACUGGGCGUAAAGCGCGCGCAGGUGGCUUCGUGAGUCGGACAUGAAAGCUCCUGGCUUAACUGGGAGAGGCUGUUCGAUACUGCGGGGCUUGAGGUUGGGAGAGGGACGCGGAAUUCCCGGUGUAGUGGUGGAAUGCGUAGAUAUCGGGAGGAACACCAGUGGCGCAAGCGGCGUCCUGGCCCACACCUGACGCUGAGGUGCGAAAGCGUGGGUAGCAAACAGGAUUAGAUACCCUGGUAGUCCACGCUGUAAACGAUGUCAACUGGGUGUCGGUAGUUUUACACUAUCGGUGCCGAAGCUAACGCG
rnacentral:rRNA from 1 species